AGAGUUUGAUCCUGGCUCAGAAUCAACGCUGGCGGCGCGCUUAACACAUGCAAGUCGCACGAGAAAGGGAGCAAUCCUAAGUAAAGUGGCGCACGGGUGAGUAACACGUGGAUCAUCUACCUUUUAGUGGGGAAUACCUCUGGGAAACCGGAGACAAUACCGCAUAAGCCCGCAAGGGGAAAGCAGCAAUGCGCUGAAAGAGGAGUCCGCGGCCGAUUAGCUAGUUGGCGGGGUAACGGCCCACCAAGGCGAAGAUCGGUAGCCGGCCUGAGAGGGCACACGGCCACACUGGCACUGAAACACGGGCCAGACUCCUACGGGAGGCAGCAGUGGGGAAUCUUGCACAAUGGGGCGAAAGCCUGAUGCAGCGACGCCGCGUGAGCGAUGAAGCCCUUCGGGGUGUAAAGCUCUUUCGACGGGAACGAUAAUGACGGUACCCGGAGAAGAAGCUGCGGCUAACUACGUGCCAGCAGCCGCGGUAAUACGUAGGCAGCGAGCGUUGUUUCGGAAUUACUGGGCGUAAAGAGUGUGUAGGGCGGGUGUUCCCCAGUCUGUUGUGAAAUCUCCCGGCUUAACUGGGAGGGUGCAGCGGAAACUAGAAUGCUAGAGGGUGGGAGAGGUAAGCGGAAUUCCUGGUGUAGCGGUGAAAUGCGUAGAUAUCAGGAGGAACACCUGUGGUGUAGACAGCUUACUGGACCACUUCUGACGCUGAGACACGAAAGCUGGGUAGCAAACAGGAUUAGAUACCCUAGUAGUCC
rnacentral:rRNA from 1 species